rnacentral:lncRNA from 1 species
CCCUUUGCACGAGGAGCGGGGGCGUUGCGCAGGGUCCCCGGGUCCCCCCCCCAGUGCGUUGUGCGAGGUGCAGGGGUCCCCUCGUGCGUUGCACGGGGUCUUUGUGUCCCCACGUGUGCGUUGCACAAGUCUCGGGAGUCCCCACGUGCAUUGCACGAGGUGCAGGGGUCCCCUUGUGCAUUGCACGGGGUCCCCUUGUGCGUUGCACAAGUCUGAGGAGUCCCCACGUGCAUUGCACGAGGUGCAGGGGUCCCCUUGUGCGUUGCACGGGGUCCCCUUCUGCAUUGCACAAGUCUCAGGAGUCCCCCCGUGCAUUGUGCGAGGUGCAGGACUCCUCUUGUGCAUUGCGCAGGGUCCCCUCGUGCAUUGCACGGGGUCCCCAUGUGCAUUGCACAAGCCUCAGGAGUCCCCCCGUGCAUUGCGCGAGGUGCAGGGGUCUCCAUGUGCAUUGCAUGAGGUGCAGGACUCCUCUUGUGCGUUGCACAGGGUCUUUGUGUCCCCAUGAUUGUGUUGCACAAGGUGCAGGAGCCCCCGUGUGCAUUGUGCAGGGUCCCCUCGUGCAUUGCACGGGAUCCCCAUGUGCGUUGCACAAGUCUCGGGAGUCCCCACGUGCAUUGCACGAGGUGCAGGGGUCCCCUCGUGCGUUGCACGGGGUCUUUGUGUCCCCGUGUGGGCGUUGCACAAGUCUCGGGAGUCCCCACGUGCAUUGCACGAGGUGCAGGGGUCCCCUCGUGCGUUGCACGGGGUCUUUGUGUCCCCGUGUGGGCGUUGCACAAGUCUCGGGAGUCCCCACGUGCAUUGCGCGAGGUGCAGGACUCCUCUUGUGCAUUGCGCAGGGUCCCCUCAUGCAUUGCACGGGGUCCCCAUGUGCGUUGCACAAGUCUCAGGAGUCCCCACGUGCAUUGCACAAGGUGUGGCGCAGGGUCCCCUUGUGCGUUGCACGGGGUCCCCAUGUGUGUUGCACAGGUUCUUUGUGUCCCCUUGUGCGUUGCACAAGUCUCGGGAGUCCCCACGUGCAUUGCAGGAGGUGUAGGACUCCUCUCGUGCGUUGCACGGGGUAUUUGUGUCCCCAUGUGUGUGUUGCACGAGGUGCAGGGGUCCCUUGUGCGUUGCACGGGGUCCCCAUGUGCGUUGCACAGGCUCUUUGUGUCCCCAGGUGCGUUGCACAAGUCUCAGGAGUCCCCAUGUGCAUUGCACAGGGUCCUCGUGUCCCCACGUGCAUUGCACAAGGUGCAGGAGUGCUCACGUGCGUUGCACGGGGUCCCUGUGCAAGUUGCACGAGGUGCAGGGGGCCCCCUGUGCGUUGCACGUGGUUUUGUGUCCCUUCGUGCAUUGCACAAGUCCCAGGAGCCCCCACGUGCGUCGCA